ACUCCUACGGGAGGCAGCAGUGGGGAAUUUUGGACAAUGGGCGAAAGCCUGAUCCAGCAAUGCCGCGUGUGUGAAGAAGGCCUUCGGGUUGUAAAGCACUUUUGUCCGGAAAGAAAUCCUUGGCUCUAAUACAGUCGGGGGAUGACGGUACCGGAAGAAUAAGCACCGGCUAACUACGUGCCAGCAGCCGCGGUAAUACGUAGGGUGCGAGCGUUAAUCGGAAUUACUGGGCGUAAAGCGUGCGCAGGCGGUUUGCUAAGACCGAUGUGAAAUCCCCGGGCUCAACCUGGGAACUGCAUUGGUGACUGGCAGGCUAGAGUAUGGCAGAGGGGGGUAGAAUUCCACGUGUAGCAGUGAAAUGCGUAGAGAUGUGGAGGAAUACCGAUGGCGAAGGCAGCCCCCUGGGCCAAUACUGACGCUCAUGCACGAAAGCGUGGGGAGCAAACAGGAUUAGAAACCCUUGUAGUCCCAUGAU
rnacentral:rRNA from 1 species